GUCUACAGCCAUGCCACCCUGAACAAGCCCGAUCCCGUCUGAUCUCAGAAGCUAAGCAAGGUCAGGCCUGGUUAGUACUUGGAUGGGAGACCACCUAAGAAGACCAGGUGCUAUAAGUG
rnacentral:rRNA from 1 species